rnacentral:rRNA from 1 species
UACGUAGGGGCAAGCGUUGUCCGGAUUCAUUGGGCGUAAAGAGCGUGUAGGCGGCCAGGUAGGUCGGUUGUGAAAACUGGAGGCUCAACCUUCAGAGGUCGACCGAAACCAUCUGGCUAGAGUCCGGAGAGGAGAGUGGAAUUCCUGGUGUAGCGGUGAAAUGCGCAGAUAUCAGGAAGAACACCCGUGGCGAAAGCGGCUCUCUGGAACGGUACUGACGCUGAGACGCGAAGCGUGGGGAGCGAACAGG